AAGCAAGCGGAGGCACCGACCUGAGGAACGCUCAAAAUUAAAAUUUAAGAGCAAGCCCGGGAAUUUACGGUGGAGGGGUGCAAGUUCCGAGGGGACGCCGGAAAAGCCUGCGACGUCCACCCCUGACGACCGCCCUCGGGGGCGAACUGCCGCUCAGGAGGGCGAUCCGGACGCCCUGCCCGCGGCCCCGGCACGGCAGCCCCGGCGCGGCGGCCCGGCUUCGGCUUCCGCCCCAGCCCGGUCCCGGCGUCCUGCACCGCCGGCCCGGCCUCACUCACAGCAUGAUCCGCGAGACGUGCAGCCGCACCGGGACGCUCCUGUCUUUGAAGGCGGUGGUGAUGAAGCAGCCGAAGGUGAGCGCCGCCAUCACGCUCAGCGAGAAGGCGAACAGUGAGUUCGCCCGCGACAGCACCGUGUUCAUCGCGAUCGUCUCCCACGAGUCCGGACUCCACACGCACACCCAGGCUCCCGUUCCGGCGGCGGACCGGCUCCCUGCGAUCCGCGCCGUCUGCGGUGCGCGCGUUCCGGGAGCGCGCGCCGCCGCAGCCCCGCCUCCUUUCCGGUCCUCCGACGCGAGCGCGCGCGCGCCCGCUUCCCGAAACACACCCACAGCGCGCACGGGGCGGCGCGGAAAGGGAGAGACUCAGCCGCGGGCCCGCCCCUCCGUCGCGGCCUAACGCCGCCACCAAUCAGCGACGAGUGAGGGAGGGGCGGGGUUUGUUGUGGAAGACCCACCCCCUCCUCUUCUAAAUUGCUUCUCCGACCUUUGGGUUCAGAGAAUUGGGAACCGGUCGUUCGCUGUCCUUUUUCGGUUCUUUGGUCAGAGGUCUGGGACUGCGACUUCUUGAUUACUUAUGUACCAUUUAUUUUCACUUGAAACCGGCAGCAAGUUAAGGUGGUUUAGAAUCUGUCCUGACGGGUGGCGUUUGGAAGCAGCACUUUACAAAACGCCUGGUCCUCUCCCUUCUUUGUCAAACCUGGUCAAAGUUAGGACUUGAGCUUUUUUUGGAGGAUCUGAGGAGCAGUGGGGAGUGGGGAAUUAGCCGCCCAAGUCCUUAAAGCUGUCACGUGCAUCAGUAUUUCCACCUCCAACGUCAGUCCAAUUCCUAUUAAUGCUUUGCUUUGUAUGGAUAGCUAAAGAUGUUUUAGAAGAUAAGGGUUGAGGCUACCGAUCCUAAGUAUUUGCAUUUUAACAUGGUGAUUUCUGAUAAAUAAAAGGAUAACCUUUCUGGGUUCUUAGGAGCAAAGAAGAUAAUGGCUGCGGAAUUGCUCUACAGCAUAAUGUAUAAGAAUUUCGUUGGGUCAUUAAUAAAUAAUGCAAUUAUUUUAUCACAUUUUCAAUAUCCUGAAGGGCAUUAGGGUUCAAACCGAGCCAAUCCUGACUCUGAUUAUACUAUCUGCCAAAACCUUUGUUCCUUUCACAGCUAAGGGUUUUUAUAAAAAUGGAUUCAGGGUCUGCUGAAAUAAAUUUUUUUUAAAAAUUUCAGUCCAUAAACCAAACAAAAAUAUCUGUCCUGGAAUGUGAUCAGGAACAAACCAGAAAACUGUGAACAUCUGAUCUUGAUACUGGCUUAUGUUGUCUCUUGUUAAGCUUUUGCUUCUUUGCAUUAUUCAUGACCAUUCAAUUAAUUUUUGUAUAGCCAUACAGGUAGGAUUAUUACCAAGUGCCUACCGUGUACCAGGAAUAGUUCUAAGCCUUGAGAAUACAGCACUAAUAAGGCAGACUCCCUGCUCAAAUAGAGCCAACUAAUGAAAAAUCGAUAAAAUAGAGACUAAAGAGAGAUCCUUAGUUGCGUUUAAAAUCUUAGUUUUUAACUUCCAGGCUGGCACAGUUUGUUAACAAAAAAAGAAAAAAAAGGAUUUUUAUUGAAUGCCAUCUAUACUGCAAGUGAUACAGAGAUUGUACUGAUCACUUUCUACACUCAAAAGUAUAUAAUCAGGUAGAGUUAAUAAAAUAAAAACAAAUCUGAAAUGUAAAACAAAAAAAUACCCUGGGAAGUUACAUAGCAAAGGAGGAAGGAAUUACAGCCCUGGUAAUGUGGGACAACACAGUGUGCAAAUUAUUUAACACAAAGCCUAAACAAGACACAUUAUUAUUAUAGCAUGUUUUAGGGAAAUAAUUCUUGUUGUUGAACUGCAAGUACAGGUAUAUCUAAGAGAUACUCAGAAGGCUGGUCCUGAUAAACAAUGCAUGUAUAAAAGAGUAAGCAGAAAUAAGCCUGGAAAGGUAAGUUAUGGUAGAAAACCAGGUCAAGAAGUUGACUUUAUAUCAGGGAAAUUACAUGUAAAACAAGCAUCGCUACACAGGCAACCAUUUACCAGUUAUAUGUGGAGAGUGAGUGAUGGACCCAAAAGGAAGACUGAUAGGAGGGGCAUUUCGGAAACAAACUCUAUGUUACUUAGCAACUGCCUAAAUAAGAGUGGGGGUCUGCAAAGCAUAGAGUGAAUGCAGAUUGUGAACACUCAAAUGAAACUAGUAUUAUUAUUAUGACACCACAGUUUUUAACUUGACUUACUGGUAGUGCUAAAAACACAUAAAAGUCCACAAAAAGAGCAGGAGAGGGAUGGGAUAGGGAAUUUUCUUAUUCUGUUUUAUUUUUCCAAGUGUUUCUUUAGAUUUUCUAGACAUUUAUAUCACCUACAUUAGAUAUCAUUUUGCCUUUUCCGUUCCAAUUAUUAUAUUUCCAAUUGUUUAUUCAUUUCAGUAGCUAAUAUUUCCAACAUGAUAUUCAGUCAGAUGGGGACAACUGAUAUCUUUUUGUUCCUGAUUUGAGCAGGAAAUUUCCUUUCAUUUCUCCAUCAAGUAAGAUGUUGGCUUUGAGAUGGAAAUUGUGUGUGUGUGUGUACAUGUAUCAUUAUAUAAUAUAUAUUGCAUAUUGAUAGGAAAUAUCUAUUCCUAUUGGGAAAUUUUUAAAAAUAUAAACAAGUGCUAAAUUGUUUUCAGAUGCAUUUUCCCUAUCUUAUUUCCUCUACUUCUUUCCUCUAUCUUAUUUCCUCUGCUUAUUUAAUGGGUUAUAUGAAUAGAUUUUAUAAUAUUGGCCCAGUAAGCAUUCCUGGAAUAAACUCCACCUGGUCAUGAUGAAUUAGUUUUUAAUAUGCUCUUGUGCUUUCUUUGCUAAUUUUGGGGUUUUUUGUUUUUUAGUUUGUGUAAUCAAUAUUCAUAGUGAAACUGAUGUGUUUUUUUGAUUGUAAUAUUAUACUCAAAUUAGAAAAUAUAUAUUUCUAAUAUAACAAGGAAAAUAAGUUUUCCUUAGUUUUCUGUGCACUGGGAUAUUUUAAGUAGCAUUUGGAUCUGGUCUUUAAAAAUUUGAUAGAAAAUUUGGUAGAAAUUCCCAAGGGAGUCUAUUCUUCUAUUUUUUUUAAAUUAUUAAUUGUUAAUUCUAAUUAUGUAUACUUGUGCUUUCUACCUUUUUCAUUUAUUGUUUUAAUUAGUAUUUUUUCUUGUUUUCUUUCAAAGCACUUCUGCAUUUACUAAUUAACUCUACUGUUUUCCAACUCAUUAAUUUUUGGUUUUAACACUAUCAACUUUUUUCAUUCCACUUUUUUUGUUUAUUAGCUUUGGAAAUUGGAUAUUUAGUUGGUAUAUUUUUCAUGUUUAUUGUUAUGGUAACUGCUUUAGCUGUAUCCUAAAAUUUCUGACUAUGAAUUUCCAAGAGAAAGUACCAUUUUUCCUUUUGAUUGCUUUAAAUUAAUGUCUGAUUUUAAAUCAUGUAGGCAGAGAAUGCUGUUUGUAUAUUUCUAUUCUUUGGAUUAUUGAGGUCUUCUUUGUGGCCUAAAAUGUCACUUUUGUGAAAAUUCAAUGUGCAACUUGAAAGAAGGUAUUUCCUCUUAAUAGUAUAUAGAAUUUGAUAGAUACCUAUGAGAUCUGCCUUAUUGAUUAUGUUAUUUAUGUCUUUUACAUCUGUAGUAAUAUUUGUUACCUUCAUUUUCUUGGAUUCUGAGAGAUUUGUUAAAAUCUCCAAUACUGUGUUUUGUCUGUUUAUUCUCACAUCUCCUAUAGUUUCUCCUUCACAAAAAUUGUUGAUAUAUUAUUUGGUAAGCAAGUAUUAAUAAUAGUUACAUUUUCAUUAUGAAUGGUAGUCUUCAACAUUGUAACGUGUUAUUUUAUUUUUAAUGCUUUUUGAUGCAAAUACUACUAGUCAAACACUGAGGUUGUACUGAAGGAAACUGAGGCUGUUUAUCUGAAAUAGUAUUACAGACCUUAAAUUAAUACGUAGCAUUUUUAAACUAAGUGUCUUGUACUCUUUAAUGAUUUCAGCUCAGAACCUAGUGGCAGUAAUGGGGGGAGCGAUUGGCAUGCUUUGUCAGCGCUUGAGUAAAUAGCGAUCAGCUGGGAAAGACAUGCCUAACUGUAUUUCUGAAGGAUAGAAAGAAACCUAGAAUAAAUGUAAAGUUUUGAUCUUCAUAUUUGCAAAUAAUUAUUCUUCUGUAACACCAAGCUAAGAAGAGGUAAGAACAAUAAAUCACUUUAUAAGGAAAUCUUUAAAUAAAGCUGUGUGCACAUGGCCAGAUAAUGCUUUUUAAAAAGGGGAUAAACUGAAAGAUAUAAUAAAAGCCUUCUUUUUUUUUUUUGAGAUGGAAUUUCGCUCUUGUUGCCCAGGCUGGAGUGCAAUGGCGCGAUCUCAGCUCACUGCAACCUCCACCUCCCAGGUUCAAGUGAUUCUCCUGCCUCAGCCUCCCGAGUAGCUGGGAUUACAGGCGCCCGCCACCACGCCCAGCUAUUUUUUUGUAUUUUUUGUGGAGACAGGGUUUCACCAUGUUGGCCAGGCUGGUCUUGAACUCCCGACCUCAGCCGAUCCGCCCGCCAAGGCCUCACAAAGUGCCGGGAUUAUGGGCAUGAGCCACUGCGCCCGGCCAAUAAAAACGUUCUAAUUAAAUAUGGUGUUAUUGGGAAUAUCCAAAGAGUCCACAAAGCACCAAGCUCCCCAGGGAAGUUCCUGCAAUGGAGCAUGUUAUAGAUCUAGCACAUUAAGGACUCAAAUGGUUUUCAGAAAGUGACUAUGAAUUAUGUUGUUCAUCAUAGAGAGUGGGGAUCAGGUCUUGUUCAUUUUUCUAUCCCUUUCAGUGCCCAGGACACUGAGCCUUGCACGUAGUAGAUGGUCAAAAAAAUUCUUAUUGAAUUGAGAUACCUUGAAAUCAUAGAUCAUGAUAUUUUUGAAAGAAUUCUCAUGUAAAGCAUAUAUGUCACACACAGGUAACGAACAGUUAAAGUGUAAAUGGGUAAAAUGGUAAAGUGUAAAGCUAAAUUGAAUAUGUAGGCCAAGGACAAAUUGUAAAAGGCUUGAGUGCCAGGCUAAUAAGUUUGAUCAUAAUUCAGGAGACAAUAACGAACUUUUGAGGAUUUUAGAUCAGUUGAGUGUCAUGACCAUGUAGGCUCUCAGUAGAUAAGUAAUUUCUUUGAGACGGAUGCGACUGCCAGUUUGUAGACCAGGCCAGAAGUUAUUGCAGUAGGUUUUUGUUAUAGUUGUUGUUUUGAAGAUACUUGCUUGGUUAAUCGAAAGAUAUAAUCAGUCAAGCUGGUAAGUAGACUAUUCCAGUGUGAUAAUUCCAGGAGUGCUAUGUUUGUGAAUCUCUUUAAAGAGGAAAAAAAAAAAGUUCAGAAGGAAAACCAGUUUUUGGCUAGCAGGUACCCAAAUUCCAGACUCUCAAAAGGAAAGGUGGGACAUUAUGUGAAGAUGUUUGGCAUAAACCACAUCGUGGACAGUUAGUCACAGUGAGCCACUCUUAUCACUUAGGGAAAGUUUCCUAUCAGUGCGGGGAACUGUUUACCAGCCAUGUUCCCAGACACCAGCCGAGGGCCAACCUUGCAUACAGGUUUUUCUAAGGAUCGAUAUCUCAGGCCUGUUGCGGUAGUUUAAAAACAUUGCUUUCAGGUCAUUUUAUUUCUGUUGAAAGCUUUUUUGAGAAUGAUUCCUAUAGCACAUAAGAAAAUGUAAGAAUGUAUUUAAAUUUUUAUUAUAGUAUAUUUCCUUCAUUUAUUUUCCUUUUUUUAAUACUAAGUUUGCCUACUCAGCUCAGAUCCCUUCAAACAGAACUAUUUUAUUCACUCAGUAGACCAUGGAGAACUUAUAAAAAGCCCAUUGUCCGCCACAGACCUCUAAGGAUAGUAUUUCUCCAAGCAGCUUCUCUUCCUUUUGUUCUCCCAUCACUGUCACUCUUUUGCGUCUUGGCUUUUCACUCUAAUUCUUCAUUCCCAUCUCAGGCCCUCCUUUCUCAGACUUGCUAUUUGAACCUAGCUGUUGAACCAUGUUUCUAGCCCACCUGUAGGCACUUGACCCUGAGCUUGCUUGAGCAGUUAGCUCAUGAAUUCAUAGCUGCCUGGCCCACAUGCACAUGUCAGAAUCAUUUAUUGUGCAUCGUUAAGAGCAGAACCAGAUAGCAUACCAGAGAUCAUUGGUUUCCGAGAAUCUGUACCUCACCCUCCCAAGGAAAAUGGACAAGAAGCCCUUCCAUAUUCUCUAGACAGUCAAGGACGUCCAAAAGUUAUUGGGAUUCUUUGAACAGUUUUAGCAGUUAAUAUUCAGCUUCUCUGCUUAUAUUAUCUGGACAACUAUCCUUUUCAGGAAAGUGAGAGAGUUUGCUUGGCUCCUUGUGAAGCCUGUAGCAUUCUCGUAGUUAACGAACCUAGUAAAUUUUUCUGUCUUCUUGGCCUUUUCUGACUCACCCACAAACUCACUGCUGAAACUAUAUCUCUAAUAUGCUAUCGUGAACAUCUGGUCACCAGAGAACCUAGGUUGUAAUUUGUAUCACUGCAUUUUCAUUCUAAAGAAACUAGUCCCAGCUGAGGUUAAUGGACCUGUGAAAUCACUACCAAUAUAAAUGCUGGCUUUAGGGAAAUACCUGCUACUUGAAGUCAGGCUAAUCCCCAUUUAUGAUACAUUAAGACAACUAAAGCUCUAGAAUAAAUAAGGUCCUAUAUGGUGAGUUAAUUAUUUAACUUGAGUUUUUUUGAUUAUAGGAAAGUUUCUGGAUUCCCAUUUGCAAACAAAAGCAGCUAUAUCUGAAAAGGAAACAAAGAGGGAAAAUUAUUGUGGGAACUGUGUAGAAAGGAGUUAACAGACCUGAGGCUUCUGUUCUUAAAAAAGACCUGCUUGCAAGGUUGGCUCUUGGCUGGUGUUGGAUAACUUGGCUGAUAAACAGUUUCCUACACUGAUAUAAAACUUUCCCUAAAUGAUAAGAAUGGCCUAAACUGUUUGUAGAAACAGUGUGGUUUAUGCUAAACACCUGCCUUCCUUCUGGGAGUCUGGAAUUUUGGUAUGUGUUAGGCAGAGGGUGCUUACAUUGCCACCCCUCAAUGAAAACCUUGAGCACUGGUUAAUGAGCUCUUUUGGCUGAUAACUUCACAUAAAUCUGUUACUGGAGGAACUGAGCACAUCCUGUGAGACUCCAUUAGGACUCUUGGAAGUGUGUGCCUGGUUUCUUCCAAACUUCUCCUCAUGCACCUUUUCCCUUUGCUGAUUUUGUUUUAUAUCCUUUAACUGUAAUACCCCUAACUGUGAAUAUGAUUAUAUAUAUAUUUCAUCCUGUGAGCCCUGCUGGUGGGUUGGUCUUGGGAACCCUAAACACAAGGACUACCUCCCAUUUCAUACAUUUUCAUAUUCAGAAUGUCGUAAGGAUUUCUGCAGAGCCAAGGGAAACUUAGCCCCAUCCUUUUCUGUAAUGGGAGGGGUAUUAUUAUUAUCUUUUUAUCCUAAGUCCUAUGAGUCAUCUCAGUCUUUUGUUCUGGAUGCCAUACUGCUCACACAUUUUGACGUGCUGUACCUCAGUUUUAUUCCCCCUGACACUUAGAAUCCUUGUCUUCUGCCCUCUAGUUCCCAGUUACCAUCUGAGGCUCUACCCGUCAUGUUAACUCACAUGGACCCAUUUCCCUAGGUUUUUGAUCUCGAGUUAUUUAAUAGCUGCUCAGUCUUGAUUUUCAGUGUUCUGCUUGCACACAUAUACCCAGAAUUGCAAGGGAGUAUGCUUUCACCUCUUGUUCUUAACCAUUGAGGCACUCAAUGUCUUCAUCAGCUUAUCUGACCUCCAUGUAAAGGGAAUAAAUCAGGCAAAAUCCACUAUUAGAGGUCCGUUCUUUCUGUGGACCUAUUGCCACUUUCAUGCUCCUUACUUAUAUAUAUAAAGCUGAAAAGAAUUUAAAAUCAGUGUAUGAAAGAGAAGGUUAGAUGAGCCGUGCACACGUUUUUAUCACUGAGAAUACCUACAGAGUUAAAAAUUCAUAUGCAACUCUAUUAUUCCACUUGGUAACUUAAAAAAUGUAUAAGGAAAUGUCCGAAUCUUUCAUGGUUUCCUUUGAAAGGUCUAUUCUGGAAAAAAAAAAUGUUUUAAAAGAAUUCAUUCAUUUUAGAUUGUGGGUGCUGGAGAAUAUGGUUUUUUUUUUUUUCUCAUAUUACACUCUGGGAACCCUUAUAUUGGAAGAAAGUAAAAAGUACCAUUCAAGUGAUGUGGGUAUACUACUAAAACUGAGAUUUUUGAAGCAGAAAUUCUGCUUCAGUGACUGAAACGUGUCAGAUUGUGGGACUAUCAUAAGGUAUAUGAUAUUCUAGGAGUGGGUAGGGAAGAAAAGAACUCAUAGCCUGGCAUGCAAUCUGGUCAUAGAUGCUAAGAAAAUGAUCUUGGGCACACUGAUUUUGUCAUAUAGACAGGCAAGAUUCAGUGCCCAAGAGUGGUGCAGGGCAGUUGUAAUUUUGGCAGUAAUCAGCAUCUGAGGUAAGUUAUGCGUGAACCCUGCAGAUAUCUUUCUGCAUUUAUGUCAUUCAUUUGUGUGAGACAUGCUUCACUGUAAGUUACCAUAUUUAAAAGAUGGUCAGUUUUGUGACAGUUUUCCUGGAGGUGAUUCCAAAUGAUUCUUGACAUGAUUAUCCUCAGAAAAAAAAAAACAGUAAAUCAAUCAUUUCUUCCUUAUUUUCUCAAACAGGGAUAAAGAAGAAAUAACCUUUAGUCAACCCACCAAUUACAUUUCUCCAUUUUCAGUGUUCAUUGAGCCAUUGGAUAUAAAUGUGAAUACAGAGAGGUACAUACAUGACACUCGCACUUCUCUGUUUAACACCUUAGAGUUUACUUACAGUCCUUCUACCAAGCCUAGAAUCAAUAUUUUUAAGGCAAGAAUCUUUUUUUUGUAUGUUAUAUAAUAUAAAAGUUAUUUAAAGGUUUAGGGAGAGAGUUGUUAGAAUAAAACACAUAGAUGAUGGAGAUCUGGAAAUACAUCUGGACCAUUUCCAUUAAGUCUUAGAGAAAUAAUUCUUAGUAAAUCUUUUCUCCAGAGUUGCAUUUUCUAGGCACAUAACCUUGACAUAUUACAUGCUCUGAUUGGGCUUAGUUUUCUGAUCAUAAGAGAAGAAACCAGUGUUGAGAAACUUACAGUAGAGACAAUAUCCAGGCAUUAGGCAAGUGAAGGCUAAUGUGUGUCCAUAGAGGGUAUAGGGUAUUAGUACGUAUUCGGGGCAAGACUCCCAGGGUAGUAAGUUGAAUAAUCUGGCUGAAUUUAGAAGUAGAGACCAUGGCAGACUCUCAAUUCAAUAUAAGGUGGGGAUGACGGCAAUGGGAAAGAAAAGUUGCACUUUAUGAGCACACAUGGCUACUCACUGAGGAGACUCAAGGAGCAAAGCUGUCAUAGCUGGGCUCCCAGAUUCCAGUGAAGGAUCGUUAAUUAAUUAUGCUGAACUCUAGAGCACAAGGGCAUUGAUGCUGUUGAUAUCUGCCUUGUGAUAGUCAGGAUAGACUAAACAGCUAGAAAAUUGAAGCUUUAGUUAGAGGGAGAAGUCAGGAAGUCAUGGGUCGUAACCAUCAGAAGCUGAGAAACAGAGGACCAGGGGG
rnacentral:lncRNA from 1 species